GACGAACGCUGGCGGCGUGCUUAACACAUGCAAGUCGAACGGAAAGGCCCUGCUUUUGUGGGGUGCUCGAGUGGCGAACGGGUGAGUAACACGUGAGUAACCUGCCCUUGACUUUGGUAUAACUUCAGGAAACUGGGGCUAAUACCGGAUAGGAGCUCCUGCUGCAUUGUGGGGGUUGGAAAUUUUCGGCGGUUGGGGAUGGACUAGCGGCUUAUCAGCUUGUUGGUGGGGUAGUGGCUUACCAAGGCUUUGCCGGGUAGCCGGCCUGUGAGGGUGACCGGCCACAUUGGGCCUGAGAUAGGGCCCAGACUCCUACGGGAGGCAGCAGUGGGGAAUAUUGCACAAUGGGCGGAAGCCUGAUGCAGCAACGCCGCGUGCGGGAUGACGGCCUUCGGGUUGUAAACCGCUUUCGCCUGUGACGAAGCGUGAGUGACGGUAAUGGGUAAAGAAGCACCGGCUAACUACGUG
rnacentral:rRNA from 1 species